AGAUACUAUAGCCAUAUGAAGUUGAACAUGGCAGAAGAAGAGGACUAUAUGUCUGAUUCCUUCAUUAAUGUCCAGUAAAGAAGAUAUCAGACCAGGAUUGCCAAUGCUAAGGCAAAUCCGAGAAGCCCGUCGAAAAGAAGAAAAGCAACAGGAAGCCAAUUUGAAAAACAGGCAGAAGAGUUUAAAAGAAGAAGAACAAGAAAGACGUGACAUUGGGUUGAAGAAUGCACUAGGCUGUGAAAACAAAGGGUUUGCCUUGCUCCAAAAGAUGGGCUAUAAAAGUGGUCAGGCACUUGGCAAGAGUGGUAAGUCACAUGUGGAAAUAAACAGGUAUUCCUUACCACCUAAUUGUGACUUAUGGAUAAGGACCAAAGCUGAUGCUUUAAUCUUUAUCUACACAGAAAUUAUAACAACUUAGGCUUUUUAGUCUAUUAUGUAUUAACAAGCCUUAUGGAGAGCUUUUCAUCAUCCCACAUCCAUUUUAGAUACCACAUGUGCCAUCAAGAGCUGCUUAUCAGCCCAGCUUAGCUGAAGGCACUAACAACCUAGAUGGAUGUGGCUUACAACAGAAGAAGCAAAGAAUGGUGAUAAGUGAUGGGUUGAGAAGUGCAAUGGCUAAAUACAUUGAAACAACACUGAGGAUGAUGGCAAGACUUUGCCCUGCUUGCUCUGUACCUGUGGCAGCCAUCUGAAUGACCGUCCAGUUGGAGAGGCUCAAUUCUCACCUCUCUUUUUAGGAAGUGAAACUGCUUAUUAAGCUAGAGAGGCUAUAUAUUUAUAGUAACCUCUGUAAACCGUUUUUCUUUCCUUUAUCGUAAUUGCUUUGCUUUCACUUAAGGCUGUCACCGUCUUGCACCAAUAAUAUCAGUGUUGUUCCUUCUUAAAACUCCACCUUCAGGUGGCAUAGGAGGCUGUGAAUCAGCCUUUUUGAUGAGUAGGUAUUUGAAGACAAGGUAGAUAAUUGAUUAUAUAUAGAAUAUAUAUAGAUGUUCAGAUUUCAAUUUUGAAUAUCAUUGAAACAGGAGGGCAUAUGCAUAGAGCAUUGUAAAGUUGCAUACUUAUACUGUUCUGUAGUUUGAGGAAAAUUUUCUAAAAUAGUUUGUAUUCAUUCUCUUUAAGGGGGUGGUAUUGUUGAACCAAUUCCUCUCAAUAUCAAAACAGGUACGUAAUUAUUUUGGAGCAUAUUUGCCAAUAAUAAUAACUUACGCUUAGGUCUACCACAUAUAUUUGCUCAAUAAAUACUUUUUUUUAAAUGAUAAUACUGUUACAGUUCAGUAAAAUUUUGUUAAAUUUCUAAACC
rnacentral:lncRNA from 1 species